AAUAAAACAUCAAAUAUAGGUGCCUCUUUUGGAGGAGAAUAGGGAAAUCCGGUUAAACUCCGGUGCAGCCCCCGCUACUGUAAGCGUAUACGAAACCUCAGCAGGUCACCCAAGAUGGGGAAGACGAGGAAGUAGGAUAAAACGCGAGCCAGGAAACCUGCCUAUGUUUACUUUGGGAC
rnacentral:ncRNA from 1 species